rnacentral:rRNA from 1 species
AAUAGAUACCCUGGUAGUCCACGCCGUAAACGAUGAGUGCUAAGUGUUAGGGGGUUUCCGCCCCUUAGUGCUGCAGCUAACGCAUUAAGCACUCCGCCUGGGGAGUACGGUCGCAAGACUGAAACUCAAAGGAAUUGACGGGGGCCCGCACAAGCGGUGGAGCAUGUGGUUUAAUUCGAAGCAACGCGAAGAACCUUACCAGGUCUUGACAUCCCAUUGACCACUAUGGAGACAUAGUUUUCCCUUCGGGGACAACGGUGACAGGUGGUGCAUGGUUGUCGUCAGCUCGUGUCGUGAGAUGUUGGGUUAGGUCCCGCAACGAGCGCAACCCUUGUUCUUAGUUGCCAUCAUUUAGUUGGGCACUCUAAGGAGACUGCCGGUGACAAACCGGAGGAAGGUGGGGAUGACGUCAAAUCAUCAUGCCCCUUAUGACCUGGGCUACACACGUGCUACAAUGGACGGUACAAACGGUUGCCAACCCGCGAGGGGGAGCUAAUCCGAUAAAACCGUUCUCAGUUCGGAUUGUAGGCUGCAACUCGCCUACA